CAAGAAGUUAUAAUAAAUGAAAUCAAUUCGUAUCUCGAAACCGGGAAAAUGCCCAUAUUUAACAUCCCAGGACUGACGUUCCCGGCUGUGGAGUGCCGCCCUGCACAGCGCUGUAUUGUGUGCCAUAACUACCACAAGAAAAAGAAAGACUGACGUGCAGGAUGAGCUGCUUGCUGUGCAUCUCUCACACUGAGCAGUAAGGACAGAGACCGUCACGAGUGCAGAUGUUUUAAUUAAUGUUGUUCUGUAUUCUAAAACUUUGAUUAUGUUUUUUAAUGGGGGGAAAAACUCCUGCAUGGGCUUUAGAAUCGCAGCUAAGGAAGCUCAGAGGAUCCAAAGAACAGUCUCCU